GACCCCAUCGUCUAGAGGCCUAGGACACCGGCCUUUCACGCCGGCAACGGGGGUUCGAAUCCCCCUGGGGUCGCCA
rnacentral:tRNA from 1 species